rnacentral:rRNA from 1 species
GAACGGGUGAGUAACUUGGGCAAUCUGCACUUGCCUGUGGGACAACCCUGGAAACGGGUAAUACUAGUUAACACUCUGUCCCCGGGGGGGUUGAAAUUCCGGAGGUGUUUGAUGAGCCCGCGGCCUAUCAACUUGUUGGUGGGGUAAUGGUCUACCAGGCAACGACCGGUAGCCGGCCUGANAGGGCGACAGGCCACACUGGGACUGACACACCGCCCACACUCCUACGGGAGGCACCCCUGGGGAAUAUUGCACAAUGGGCUAAACCCUGAUGCACCAACGCCGCAUGAAGGAUGACCGCCUUCAGGUUGUAAACCUCUUUCUCCAAGGAAUAAGGAAAGAACCUGCACAAGAAUCGCCGGCU